rnacentral:ncRNA from 1 species
ACCUAGGCACGAUCCCCCUGGGGAACCGACCUAGUGUACAACCUUAGGA